UUUUUUUAUGGAGAGUUUGAUCCUGGCUCAGGACGAACGCUGGCGGCGUGCUUAACACAUGCAAGUCGAACGGAAAGGCCUAGCUUGCUAGGUACUCGAGUGGCGAACGGGUGAGUAACACGUGGGUGAUCUGCCUCGUACUUCGGGAUAAGCCUGGGAAACUGGGUCUAAUACUGGAUAGGACCAUGCUUUAGUGUGUGUGGUGGAAAGUUUUUUCGGUACGAGAUGAGCCCGCGGCCUAUCAGCUUGUUGGUGGGGUAAUGGCCUACCAAGGCGUCGACGGGUAGCCGGCCUGAGAGGACAAUGGGCGCAAGCCUGAUGCAGCGACGCCGCGUGGGGGAUGACGGCCUUCGGGUUGUAAACCUCUUUCGCUAGGGACGAAGCUUUUGUGACGGUACCUAGAUAAGAAGCACCGGCUAACUACGUGCCAGCAGCCGCGGUAAUACGUAGGGUGCGAGCGUUGUCCGGAAUUACUGGGCGUAAAGAGCUCGUAGGUGGUUUGUCGCGUCGUCUGUGAAAUUCCGGGGCUUAACUUCGGGCGUGCAGGCGAUACGGGCAUAACUUGAGUGCUGUAGGGGAGACUGGAAUUCCUGGUGUAGCGGUGGAAUGCGCAGAUAUCAGGAGGAACACCGAUGGCGAAGGCAGGUCUCUGGGCAGUAACUGACGCUGAGGAGCGAAAGCAUGGGGAGCGAACAGGAUUAGAUACCCUGGUAGUCCAUGCCGUAAACGGUGGGCGCUAGGUGUGAGGGUCUUCCACGACUUUCGUGCCGUAGCUAACGCAUUAAGCGCCCCGCCUGGGGAGUACGGCCGCAAGGCUAAAACUCAAAGGAAUUGACGGGGGCCCGCACAAGCGGCGGAGCAUGUGGAUUAAUUCGAUGCAACGCGAAGAACCUUACCUGGGCUUGACAUCAGCAGGAUCGCCGCAGAGAUGUGGUUUCCCUUGUGGUCUGUUGACAGGUGGUGCAUGGUUGUCGUCAGCUCGUGUCGUGAGAUGUUGGGUUAAGUCCCGCAACGAGCGCAACCCUUGUCUUAUGUUGCCAGCACGUGAUGGUGGGGACUCAUGAGAGACUGCCGGGGUUAACUCGGAGGAAGGUGGGGAUGACGUCAAAUCAUCAUGCCCCUUAUGUCCAGGGCUUCACACAUGCUACAAUGGUCGGUACAACGCGCUGCGAGCCUGUGAGGGUGAGCGAAUCGCUGAAAGCCGGCCUCAGUUCGGAUUGGGGUCUGCAACUCGACCCCAUGAAGUCGGAGUCGCUAGUAAUCGCAGAUCAGCAACGCUGCGGUGAAUACGUUCCCGGGCCUUGUACACACCGCCCGUCACGUCAUGAAAGUUGGUAACACCCGAAGCCAGUGGCCUAACCCUUGUGGGGGGGAGCUGUCGAAGGUGGGAUCGGCGAUUGGGACGAAGUCGUAACAAGGUAGCCGUACCGGAAGGUGCGGCUGGAUCACCUCCUUUCUAAGGAG
rnacentral:rRNA from 1 species